rnacentral:tRNA from 4 species
GGGUCGGUGCCCGAGUGGACAAAGGGAGCGGACUGUAACUCCGCCGGCUCAGCCUUCGUAGGUUCAAAUCCUACCCGGCCCA